UCUGCACAGGGUUGGCAGAGCUGGUAGAUUUGGCACCAAAGGGCUUGCAAUUACGUUCGUAUCAUCUGCGGCUGAUUCUGAUGUUCUCAAUAAUGUUCAAGAAAGGUUUGAAGUCGAUAUUAAGGAGCUUCCAGAGCAGAUUGAUACAUCCACUUACAUGCCAUCAUAGAUGUAGAGAUCUUCAGCAUAGAAUAUCGGCUACCCAGGUUGGUGAGGGUGGUUCACAUGUCAUUGUGGUUUGAUUUUGAUUCGAACUAAAAGAUGGAUGAAAGCCACUGCGCACUAGCUUUGAUGUGAGUGAGGGCAAUGGUGUAUGCUCUAAAUUUGGUGGUGUAUGCUGCCAUUUGAGUUUAUUGUAUUCUAAUUGCCGGGGCUGUCUUGCAUGGGAAGUCUCUUUAUGCAUUUUAUCCUGAAUCACGAAUGAUCGAAAUGUAAUACUUUAGAUAUCCUUCUCUGCAAGACUAACAAUUACGGUAGACUGGUGGUAGUAUUUGCAGUGAUUUUAUAUUAGAUUCGUUAUGUGAACUCAUUUCAUUAGUUCCAUAGCUACCUGUG
rnacentral:misc_RNA from 1 species